UAUAACGGGGAAAGACCUUACCUGGUCUUGACAUGUCCGGAAUCUUCCAGAGACGGGCGAGUCCUUUCGGGAACCGUAACACAGGUGGUGCAUGGGUGUUGUCAGCUCGUGUCGUGAGAUUUUGGGUUAAGUCCCGCAACGAGCGCAACCCUUUUCAUUAGUUCCCAUCAUUAAGUUGGGCACUUUAAUGAGACUGCCGGGGACAAACCGGAGGAAGGUGGGGAUGACGUCAAGUCCUCAUGGCCCUUAUGACCAGGGCUUCACACGUCAUACAAUGGUCGGUACAGAGGGUAGCCAAGCCGCGAGGUGGAGCCAAUCUCAGAAAACCGAUCUCAGUUCGGAUGCAGUCUGCAACUCGCGUACAUGAAGUCGGAAUCGCUAGUAAUCGCCAGUUCCAU
rnacentral:rRNA from 1 species